rnacentral:rRNA from 1 species
GUCAGCAGUCGUACCACCUGCAGUUCAGACUAGGUAAUCCGCCUAGAGCUAAGCCUGUCUAAGCCUGGCCAGUACCUGGGUGGGAGACCAGCUGGAAAUGCUGGGGUGCUGCUGGAU